UUUCUUAUAGCUUAAAAUAAAGCUUAGAUUUUGUAAAUCUAAAAUGAAUUAAUAUUCUAAGAAUA
rnacentral:tRNA from 1 species